rnacentral:tRNA from 1 species
AGGGGCAUAUUGUCAAUGGUUAGCAAGUCGGUCUCCAAAACCGAAAGUUCGGGUUCAACUCCUGAUGCCCCUGCCA